GUUAGACUUGGUCUUGCUAG
rnacentral:miRNA from 1 species